rnacentral:rRNA from 1 species
GACGAACCGUGCGAACGUUGUUCGGAAUCACUGGGCUUAAAGGGCGCGUAGGCGGGCGGUCCAGUCAGGGGUGAAAUCUUUCGGCUCAACCGGAAAAGUGCCCCUGAUACUGACCGGCUCGAGGGGUGUAGGGGCAUGCGGAACUUCCGGUGGAGCGGUGAAAUGCGUAGAUAUCGGAAGGAACGCCGGUGGCGAAAGCGGCGUGCUGGACACCUACUGACGCUGAGGCGCGAAAGCCAGGGGAGCAAACGGG